rnacentral:lncRNA from 1 species
GUCAAAAGGUGUUUCAAAUUUAACUCCUCCAGCUUCUCUGAACCUGCGAUGCGCAUGUUGAGUGAGUUUACCUGUCCAUUAUCACCUUAACCAUUGUAAAAUAAAACACUAACAGCUAAUGUUAUUUUGGGACAUUUUGAAUAGAUUAUGUUAUUGAUGAAACCUCUAUCUGUGUGUCAAGUAUGCUCCUAUAGUUGGAAUGUUGUGUGUCUGUUUCACCAGACAUGCACAGUGUGGGUGUGGUCUUGCUCCCUCUUAGCCUGGUCCUUCUACUGUUUGGAGGAAUCUGUGGCUUGAUCAGUUCCCUGCCCUGGGGCCCCGCCCUCCUCACUAGCACCGUCUCCUAUCUCUUCUUCUGCAGUGUCCUGACCCUCUCCGGUGUCAGCCUAUACAUCAGCAACUCCGAGCAGGCACUGGCAGAGACCGAGAGUCUGGUGGGGGCUGAGCGUCUGGCCCAGGUGGUCAGCACCUCAUUCGAGCUGGUCCCUGGGCCUGGCUGUCCUUCUGCCUGGAGGUCCUCACUGGCCUGCUGCUGGCUGCCCACCCCGCCCUCCAGAGCGGCUCACCGGGCCACGGCAUGCCCUCUGUCCUAACCCAAGAGCCAGGCCCUACAGAAGUGUCACAAGGACUGUACCUUCAAUUUUCAAAUUAUUUUUUUGUGCUCGUCUCUGGCACCACAAAUGAAUUUCCCUCUGGAGAAAUAAAGUUCUUUAUUACAUAUUUAUUCAUCCUAAAUGCAGUAUGUGGUUUAUAGUCUGUGGGUAAAACAGCUGUCAUUUAAUGCCAUCUUGUGGUCUGAUAAGUUACUACAUUUCAAUUGGCAAAGGCUCUCAAAUAUGAAAUUGCUUAUUGUGGUCCUAUAAUGUAGGAUGAGAAAUGAAACACCAUAAUUACUGGCCUCAACCACAUCAGUCUGAAUGGCUGUUAGCUGUCACGGGGUUGCAUUUUUCGAACAUUGGCAAGUGAAGGGCUAUACGAAUAGAUGUCCUCAAAGCAAAAGCCAUAGUAGAAAUGCCUAGAGCAGACUGAAGGUGCAUCUCAAUAGACUGAAGAGGCUCCCUGUCCUUCAUCUGCACUGAUCUGCACAUUGAAAGUAGCUGAGAGCAAUGAAGUGGACAUGUCAGUGGACGUUAGUGUUCACCUGAUGAUUGAAGAGGCAAGAACUAAAGACCCUUUAUGUUACUUUGUCACGGUCAGUUAUUACUGUGGAAACCACAACAUCCACCCGCAUAAGAGAAAAUAAAAAGACAAGGGCCUGGAUUCAAUCCAAUCAGCAGUACACUACCGUUCAAACGUUUGAGGUCACUUAGAUAUGUCCUUGUUUUUGAAAGAAAAGGAAAAACAAUUGUCCAGUAAAAUAACAUCAAAUUGAUCAGAAAUACAGUGUAGACAUCGUUAAUGUUUUAAAUGACUAUUGUAGCUGGAAAUGGCACAUUUUUUUAUGGAAUAUCUGCAUAGGCCCAUUAUCAGCAACCAUCACUCCUGUGUUCCAAUGGCAUGUUGUGUUAGCUCAUCCAGAUUUAUCAUUUUAAAAGGCUAAUUGAUCAUUAGAAAAC